rfam:Ictidomys tridecemlineatus contig099819, whole genome shotgun sequence.
GGAGUUGUGGCUCAGUGGUAGAGCGCAUACCUAGCACCUAUGAGGCACAGGGUUCAAUCCUUAGCAACACAC